CGCGAUAAAAGAAGAAACGACGAGUGUUCCCAAUGAACUUACACAAUUAAUUGUUGUUCUCCUAAAUGGCCACCGAACUGCAAGAAAUUCAAUGAGUAAUAUCUUUACUAACCCAAAAAUUUAUCUGAAUGCAAUCAUGAAUCACCCACGAAUAUCUGCAUGGUGGUUGGAUUAGGCUACCAUGGGUAGCCAGCUAUAAUUAAUUUAACCAAAGCUAGUGAAAGCAAAAAAGUGGCGAACUACAUUCUACAUGUCUUUAUCAAUAAAAUGUAGCACUUUUGUUCUACGCAUUCGUAGGAUGGUGUUAGAUGUAUACAUUUUACCAUUGCAAAGUCAUACAACUAUCUUUCUUGAUCGACUCCCUUUGAUGCAAGCUAAUGGGAAAUUGCUAGCCAGAUACAUGUAUCCAUCUAACUACCAGGUACAGAUAUUACGUUUACGUCAGGUUGGAUUCUGUUUCAUUUUGCUACUGAAAUUUCGGAGCCGGCCAUUGUGAAAUUUGGGUUCAGAAACUUUGAAGAGUACGGUGCAAACAAGAAAUAGAGGGCAACAUGCACAAUUUCUAAGACGUCGCUCAGCGAGGUGCAGCGUUCCCUUAAGGCAAUAGUGUGGCCGCGGAACUCCACUCCAUGGCCAGCGCUGGUUCAGGCAGGAUUUGAUUCAGGACUGUGUUUCACAUCACCGCAUCAAGGGGAAUGGCUUCAGCUGGAUGUACCACUCCAGAAGCUCUUUAACCAGUAGCAGCCUACAGAGCCAGCGGUGCCACUGGGUCUAGUGCAGCCUCCAACCAAAACUACAGACAAAACAACCCGAAACGCGAGACCUACCUCAACCUGGGCUUCCUCUUUCACCGGGGCUUUUAAGAACCACCUGAUAACAGCAUGGGGAAACCUUACGCCUCUGAUGUUCCGCAGUGGGACCCCAGCUGCAGAGAGGGUCGCUGCUGUCGGUUUGGGCUGGAUUCAGAGAGCCUCGAAAAGCAACAAGGGCUCCCCUGCGUGCGCAGACCUGGUCACAGGAAGUGCCGGUGCCCUCUCGCCCCUCCCGCCACAGGGUAGACCCGGUGGGCGUGGGCCAGGGAAAGGCCUUGGGGAGCAUAGCCCUGGACUAACAGGGACCAGAGCAUGGCCGUCAACCCUGGAGACCAGGCGCAGAAACCUAGGCCAGAGGUCACCCGCUGGAGGCGUGUUCACUGGGGGGAAAGGUCAAACGCGGCUCAAGGCGAAAUGGUACGCAGGAGCGGAGUGGAGAGAGGUGAUGGGGUGGGGGUUAGACGGUCCGUAUAGAGCACCACUACGCCCUCCUUAAAACACAUUCGCCAAAACUAUUUUAAAAGGCAAUACCACAAUCACAAAGGCACUAUUUGAACACCUUUUAGUCAUUUAGAAUAAUGGGGAAGCGUGCUUCCUGUAUAAAAUGUCAUUUAUCAGCACCUAAUAAUAAGCCUCUUUUAAAUCAUAGUGUCACAGGACGGUUUUCUUUCUUGGCUCUGAGGACUACCCCUUUCACAGUUAUUGUGCUUAUUUAUUUAUGUGAGGGCUGUUUAAGCCAUGCACAGGGGUGUCCACCCUCCCCCCUCCUGUAAUUCCCAGAAGGGAAGCCCUCGUGGAUUUGGGAGCUGGGAACCCCAGAGGGAGACCGGGAGCAGCUGAAUGUCCUUUUAUGGCAUCGCCAGCGACCUACUGCACCGCGGUUAGCUCCCCGAGCCAACGACAUGGGAGGGUCUGUGUAUCCUCGCCGUGUCUGAUGGGAUUAUGAGGAAGGUUAAACAGAGGGUAUGCAAUAUUGUGUGUGCGUGUGUGUGUGUGUGUGCGUGUGUACCCUCUAGGGGGAGGGUAGGGGUAAAGGGCACCACAGGGAAGAUAGAAUUACCGUUAUGUUUCUCUGAGCUUUAAAGGGCCAGAUUUUUAAUUGAAACUCAAAUCCGUCGUUUCAGCCCUGACCGAGAACUCGCUCACAUGCUCCCCGCUGCGUGGGAGGCUGCACCCAGGGCAGCCCCCAGCCUUUGAUGCUUAGUCUUGGUCCCGCCUCUUUACCGUGACAUUCCAUAGUGGCCUGUGUCCAGACCCCUUGAGCGUAAUUUCCCCUCCUUGCUGGUAGACUGUGGUGUUGGUGCACACGGCGCUGCAUGACUGCUGUCAUGACCUAGCGUAACUGGGGUACGGUAAAGGUACAGUUAGCCUGCUGAACUCAUGAUGAAGGUCUCCAGCCAAGUGUACUUAUUGUACUCUUACUGGUUCCCAAAAAGAGUGAGCUAAGUGCACUUGGCUGGAGACCAGCCCAUUCUAUUAUGGAUGUUCACAUGCUAACUCGCAUCUCUUCAGUUCCGCAAGAAUCCAACCAAAAGGAAGUGACAUCACUCCACCAGAGCCUUUCUGUCAGCCCCUGGCCCCUGAUGAGCAUGCUACGAUCUGUUCGAGCAUCUGGGCUAGGCUAACCUGAGUUCCUGUCUUCAGAAACUGAGAACUUCAGAAUCUCAGGGAGUCAGGCU